GCUGCCGAGGAGCUUACCGGGAGAUGCCGUGACACGUUGUACGGACCACGUGAGGACGGGAGAGCGGGCGGCGAUAAGGCUCGCCACGACGGCUGCUCUGCGGUGACCACCUUCCUUCCGACGACAGGUCAUCACGAGACAUCUAAGGACGCGUUGCCCCUCAAAGGGUCUUAUAAGUAUGCAAAAGAGACCUCGGUAUGCUCUCAAUCUUGCACUGCUCCUCUACCACACUCUCCGUGGGAGCUCUUCGCCACUGUCGCUUCUUCUUUCUGUGGAUGUUGGAUCCGGUUCUUCGCGGCUUUGACGCCGUCAUUACCCAGUGAGCACACCGCGGUCACUUUGCUUGUCUUCGUCUUCUUUGGCUACCUUCUCCUGUGUUUAGAUUUAGAUUUGAGGCAGAAUUGGUGUGCAUAAAAAGGGAAUCAGGGUUACUUGUGAUGGUGGACGAGAGGUCCAGGGAUUGGGAGUAUAAGAUGAGCUUUAUGGCAGCGACGGAAGCGGAGGAGGAAGCGGGUGCGGCAGCCGCGGAGAUCCACUUGCCGGCGGAGGUGGACUGGGAGAUGCUCGACAAGUGGCGGUUUUUCGUCAUGGGCGCUGCCCUCUUCUCUGGUGUGUCCGCCACCCUGUACCCGGCGGUGGUCCUCAAGACGCGGCUCCAGGUCGCGCAGCCGCCGUCGCCGUGCCUCCGCACCGCGGCGAACAUACUCCGCCACGAGGGCCUCCGGGGGUUCUACCGCGGCUUUGCUACCUCGCUCGCCGGUACCAUCCCCGCGCGGGCCCUCUACAUGGGUGCGCUCGAAGCCACGAAGAGCGCCGUCGGUGCUGCCACCCUCCGCCUCGGCGUGCCCGAGACCGCCGCCUCGGUUGCCGCCUCCGCCGCCGCCGGGCUCAGCGCGGCUGUCGCCGCACAGGUCGUCUGGACCCCCAUCGACGUGGUCAGCCAACGCCUCAUGGUGCAGGGUUCCGCCGCAGCCGCUGCCAAGUACCGCGGCGGGGUCGACGCCUUCAAGAAGAUCCUCUACUCCGACGGCAUCCGCGGCCUCUACCGAGGGUUCGGGAUGUCGAUCCUCACCUAUGCGCCAUCCAAUGCAGUGUGGUGGGCGUCCUACUCCCUCUCUCAGAGGCUAAUCUGGGGCUUCAUCGGCUACCACAUGGGCGGCGGCGGUGAAUUAAAGCCGGGACACGGGACAGUGGUGGCGGUGCAGGGCGUGAGCGCGGCGGUGGCGGGGGGAACGUCGGCGGUCGUGACGAUGCCGCUGGACACGAUCAAGACGAGGAUGCAGGUGUUGGACGACGGCGGCGAUCGGAUGACGAUCGGCAGAACAGUGAGGAGCCUCAUAAAGGAAGGGGGUUGGCGGGCGUGCUACCGAGGGCUGGGGCCAAGGUGGGCUUCAACAUCACUGUCCGCCACCACCAUGAUCACCACCUACGAGUUCUUGAAGAGGCUUUCAGCCAAAGACGGCUCUUUUCCAGGACUAGGAAGUGGAGGUUGCUGUUAAAAAGUUUCUCUGAGAUGGUGAGAUUAUAGUUUUGAAGUGGCAAGUGGAAUGAUGGAGAGUAAUUCUUGGAAUUGGUCAUAGAGUCAAGAGUGCCAUGAUAGAAUGGACAUGGAGACCCAAGUGACUUGCAGUCUCUCUGUAAGAGUUUGCUGCAAGUGCUGUUUAUGUGGUGGGCCUUUUCAGAUUGGCCUCGGCACAUUCUGAAUUUGAUUGAAGUGUCGGUGAAGAAAUGUGGGUGUCAGCCACUGAUUGGUUUGAGAUCUCCCACUCUGCAAACCCACCUAUGAAUCAGUGCUUAUUAAUGGUAGCCAAGGGUAGAAGCUUUACUAGUCACAGCACUGAAACAUAGUGGUAAUUAUGGGACUUGAUGACAAGAGGAAACAUAAUGAUCUAAAGAGUGGAGCAACCAGGGAAUCAUAAUGACCAGGAGACCAGAGAUAAUGUGGGUACUCAUGUGGGACCUCAAGGUCUUGUCCUUUCAUUUUUUGGAUUGGGUUUGGUGUGGUGUAGGGCCCUUGGUUGUGGGCCAGCCAAUUCCUUUUGAAAUCUAUGGGCAAGUUUGUCUAUUGCAGUGCCAAAACAGUGGCUUGGAGAUGGAUUCAUCACUCAGAAUGCUGCCCAUGGAUGAGCUCCUGGUGUUUUGGUUUUAGGAGCAAGCUUGGGUGUGUGAGUCUAGUGAUGGGUUUUAAUGUCUUGUACUGUUGCUUAAGCAUGAUAUUGAUUGCAUCAGU